rnacentral:rRNA from 1 species
AGUGAACGCUGGCGGUAGGCCUAAUACAUGCAAGUCGAACGGACAGACAGUAAGAGCUCGCUCUUAAGGGUGGCGAGUGGCGGAUGGGUGAGGCAUACAUAGGCAUCUAAUUUUUCGUGGGGGAUAUCGUGGGGCCACUUACGAUACUACAGCAUACGACCUACGGCUGAAAGCAGCAGAUAUACGCACCUUGCCCGUUUGUUAGAGCCGACGCCGGAUUAGCUAGUUGGCGAGGUAACGGCACACCAAGGCAACGAUGCGUAGCUGAUCUGAGAGGAUGAUCGGCCACACUGGAACUGAGACACGGUCCAGACUCCUACGGGAGGCAGCAGUGGGGAAUAUUGGACAAUGGGCGCAAGCCUGAUCCAGCCAUACCGCGUGAGUGAAGAAGGUCUUCGGAUUGUAAAGCUCUGUUAUUGGGAAAGAAAAGCAGCAUGAUAAAACCCCGCUGUUCUGACGGUACCCAAUGAAAAAGCACCGGCUAACUUCGUG